rnacentral:rRNA from 1 species
UACGGGGGGGGCAAGCGUUGUUCGGAAUUACUGGGCGUAAAGGGCGCGUAGGCGGCUCGCUAAGUCGGAUGUGAAAACUCUGGGCUCAACCCAGAGCCUGCAUUCGAAACUGGCGAGCUCGAGUUCUGGAGGGGAAAGCGGAAUUCCUGGUGUAGCGGUGAAAUGCGUAGAUAUCAGGAGGAACACCGGUGGCGAAGGCGGCUUUCUGGACAGAAACUGACGCUGAUGCGCGAAAGCUAGGGGAGCAAACAGG